rnacentral:rRNA from 1 species
UCCAGACUCCUACGGGAGGCAGCAGUGGGGAAUAUUGCACAAUGGGGGAAACCCUGAUGCAGCAACGCCGCGUGAGUGAAGAAGUAUUUCGGUAUGUAAAGCUCUAUCAGCAGGGAAGAAGAUGACGGUACCUGAUUAAGAAGCCCCGGCUAACUACGUGCCAGCAGCCGCGGUAAUACGUAGGGGGCAAGCGUUAUCCGGAUUUACUGGGUGUAAAGGGAGCGCAGACGGCAGUGCAAGUCUGGAGUGAAAGCCCGGGGCCCAACCCCGGGACUGCACUGGAAACUGCCGGGCUGGAGUGUCGGAGGGGCAGGCGGAAUUCCUAGUGUAGCGGUGAAAUGCGUAGAUAUUAGGAGGAACACCAGUGGCGAAGGCGGCUUACUGGACUGUAACUGACGUUGAGGCUCGAAAGCGUGGGGAGCAAACAGGAUUAGAUACCCUAGUAC